rnacentral:SRP_RNA from 1 species
GUACAGAGUGAGCACGUGCCAAUGGCCUGCUCACAGCUUCUGGCGUUCACCCUGGUGUGUUUCGUCAGUGUCUGCCAGGGUGUCA